GACGAACGCUGGCGGCGUGCUUAACACAUGCAAGUCGAACGGAAAGGCCCUGCUUUUGGGGGGUGCUCGAGUGGCGAACGGGUGAGUAACACGUGAGUAACCUGCCCUUGACUUUGGGAUAACUUCAGGAAACUGGGGCUAAUACCGGAUAGGAGCUCCUGCUGCAUGGUGGGGGUUGGAAAGUUUCGGCGGUUGGGGAUGGACUCGCGGCUUAUCAGCUUGUUGGUGGGGUAGUGGCUUACCAAGGCUUUGACGGGUAGCCGGCCUGAGAGGGUGACCGGCCACAUUGGGACUGAGAUACGGCCCAGACUCCUACGGGAGGCAGCAGUGGGGAAUAGUGCACAAUGGGCGGAAGCCUGAUGCAGCAACGCCGCGUGCGGGAUGACGGCCUUCGGGUUGUAAACCGCUUUCGCCUGUGACGAAGCGUGAGUGACGGUAAUGGGUAAAGAAGCACCGGCUAACUACGUG
rnacentral:rRNA from 1 species